rnacentral:lncRNA from 1 species
CCUUAUCGGUGUUUGGUACUACCGUUGGAGACCGAGGCACCCUCCGCACAUGGACACGCGCCUCUCACACGCUGACUCAGCUCACCCUGACGAGCUGGACGAAGAGUUUGAUACUUUCCCUAUUUCGAGACCAUCUGAUAUUGUCAGGAUGAGGUAUGACAGGUUGAGGAGUAUCGCAUUUCCCUACUUCGAGACCCUCUGAUAUUGUCAGGAUGAGGUAUGAUAGGCUGAGGAGUAUCGCUGGGAGGAUUCAGACGGUGGUUGGUGAUCUUGCAACUCAAGGAGAAAGGCUUCAGUCUCUGCUGAGCUGGCGUGAUCCGCGUG